rnacentral:rRNA from 1 species
CCCUACGGGGUGCACCAGGCGCGAAACCUCUGCAAUAAGCGAAAGCUUGACAGGGUUACUCUGAGUGAUUUCCGCUAAGGAAAUCUUUUGGCACCUCUAAAAAUGGUGCAGAAUAAGGGGUGGGCAAGUCUGGUGUCAGCCGCCGCGGUAA